GACGAACGCUGGCGGCGUGCUUAACACAUGCAAGUCGAACGGAAAGGCCCUGCUUUUGUGGGGUGCUCGAGUGGCGAACGGGUGAGUAACACGUGAGUAACCUGCCCUUGACUUUGGGAUAACUUCAGGAAACUGGGGCUAAUACCGGAUAGGUGCUCCUGCUGCAUGGUGGGGGUUGGAAAGUUUCGGCGGUUGGGGAUGGACUCGCGGCUUAUCAGCUUGUUGGUGGGGUAGUGGCUUACCAAGGCUUUGACGGGUAGCCGGCCUGAGAGGGUGACCGGCCACAUUGGGACUGAGAUACGGCCCAGACUCCUACGGGAGGCAGCAGUGGGGAAUAUUGCACAAUGGGCGGAAGCCUGAUGCAGCAACGCCGCGUGCGGGAUGACGGCCUUCGGGUUGUAAACCGCUUUCGCCUGCGACGAAGCGUGAGUGACGGUAAUGGGUAAAGAAGCACCGGCUAACUACGUG
rnacentral:rRNA from 1 species